AAACAAAACCGCCUAACUUCGUGGCUCCAGUGGAAUCUCUCAGGUGAGUCCAGCCCAAGAUUCUGACUCACAGAAGAUUUGAUGUCAUGAAGUGGAAAUGGCCAAAGAUCCAGUAAGAAUGAUGUAAAGUCCAAUUAUCAUGCAAAGACAUUCUGGAGAAUUGCAAAGUGAGUGAAGCCAGAAGAGGAGCACUUCAAAAGCCCUUUGGAGACACGGAAUCACAGCUCUGUGAGGGCCAGAGCUAUGGAAAUCGGAGGAAAUUGGACUUCACCGUGUUGGUGGCACACCCUGCCACCCUUGCCAGGAAAGGAAACGGGAAAAGGAAUCUGAGAAACCUCAGGACAAUUACAGUUCAUUUCCAUACCCUGACUGACAAUGUACUACCUCCUGCUACGGACCGACGUAAGCCUCUUGUCACACCAAGCUCUUAGGCAAAUGGAAUGGGACCAGAUGCAAGCGAUUUAAUAAGAACUUUGCAUAAGUAAUUAUUUAGUUAUUGAUUGUUGCUUGGAGCUGUAUCAUUCUGAAUGGUUCAAAAGCUUGCAUCCUAAACUAAG
rnacentral:lncRNA from 1 species